AUUGAACGCUGGCGGCAUGCCUUACACAUGCAAGUCGAACGGUAACGGGCCUUCGGGUGCCGACGAGUGGCGAACGGGUGAGUAAUACAUCGGAACGUGCCCGAUCGUGGGGGAUAACGAGGCGAAAGCUUUGCUAAUACCGCAUACGAUCUACGGAUGAAAGCAGGGGACCGCAAGGCCUUGCGCGGACGGAGCGGCCGAUGGCAGAUUAGGUAGUUGGUGGGAUAAAAGCUUACCAAGCCGACGAUCUGUAGCUGGUCUGAGAGGAUGAUCAGCCACACUGGGACUGAGACACGGCCCAGACUCCUACGGGAGGCAGCAGUGGGGAAUUUUGGACAAGGGGCGCAAGCCUGAUCCAGCCAUGCCGCGUGCAGGAUGAAGGCCUUCGGGUUGUAAACUGCUUUUGUACGGAACGAAAAGCCUUCUUUUAAUACAGGAGGGUCAUGACGGUACCGUAAGAAUAAGCACCGGCUAACUACG
rnacentral:rRNA from 1 species